AAGACUAUACUUUCAGGGGUCAUUUCUAGAGUUCGUUACUAGAGAAGUCUCUCUGAGCACCGGAAACCACUAGGAGGAGGCACAGCGUUCUCUCCUGAGCGUGAAGCCGGCUCUUGGGGUUGCUUUAGUGCAAUUGCCAUUUGCCAUUGAUUUGAUGAUCAUUCUUCUCUUCCUUUGGGGGAGUUAAGAGGGAGAGAAUGCAGUAAAAAAAG
ensembl:snoRNA U3 Small nucleolar RNA U3